rnacentral:rRNA from 1 species
AGCUCCAAUAGCGUAUAUUAAAGUUGUUGCAGUUAAAAAGCUCGUAGUCUGAGUCUUGGCUGGUGAUGAGCGUCCACGGCUGAAUUUUUUGGUCGUGCGCAUGCGAUAUUUCGCCUGGCCAUUUGUACUUCGGAGGAACAUGAUUUGUGCUUUUCACUAAGUGCUCAUGGGAUUCCGAUAGUUUACUUUGAGAAAAAUAGAGUGUUCAAAGCAGGCGUUUUUGCCGUUGAAUACAUUAGCAUGGGAUAAUGGAAUAGGACAUUGGUUCUAUUUUGUUGGUUUACGGACCGAUGUAAUGAUUAAUAGGAACAGUUGGGGACAUUUAUAUUCCGUGGCUAGAGGUGAAAUUCUUGGAUUCAUGGAAGAUAAACUAUUGCGAAAGCAUUUGUCAAAGAUGUUU